CCGCCAACCCCAGUCCUCUCCCUGUGAUCCGACCGAAGCCCGAACCUCAGCUCCCAGCCCCCGCCCGCCCCAGCGGCUGAGCAGACAAGCCUCUCGGGCUGCUUCCAUGGAUCCCUGAUUGCUGCUUGAGGAGAAUUGCCCUGUGGAUUUGACUGACCAACGAUUGCGAUAUAAGCAGUUUCAGGUGACUGGCCCAGCAGGAGUGAGAAGAAUUUAUCUUCAGUAUAAACUUCAUUAUUCUACAGUGUCUCUUCAUUUGCCUGGGAGGUGAGAAUAUUGAGACUCAAGGAGAUUAAACAAUGGAGUACUUUCACUGCUCAAAUGUUACAGGAAACAGAAUUCUGCCAACAACCUGAACAAGCAAGAAAAUGGAUUCUCCCCUGGAGCAUCCGGAAGGGAAUGCAGCUUGCCGACAGCACUUUGAUUUAAGCACAAUGAGACCCCAUAACAGAUUUCUGACCUCCAGAGCUGUAAGAUGCUUCAACUGUUACAGGCCAUGAUGAUUUAAAUAAGAGGAAAAAAAAAUUUGCGAAAGGAAAAGAAAACUUUUAUU